CCCGGAUGACGUCAUCGUCCGGGGCACAAACAGUUAAACGCAUGGGUUGAGACUGCAGCGGCGGAAGUUAACGCACUGUUUGUGGUGCUUCUCCUCAUGUCGCUGUAUUCGAAGGCCAAGCAUGACUUCUGGGCGUGAGACUCCCUCGCCACAUCAAGUGGAUUACUAAUGGCCUUUAUAAACUUAUUGAGACGGCGGUCGUCAAUUCCUUCCUGGUGCACAAAGCACUGGGAGGGACGAAGGGGCUCGUUCGCGAGAUCCUGCCGGAUUUCCACCAGUUCACGAGGGUGGAAAGUACCGUUUGUGGGCCAUACCUGGGAGAGGGCCGUCUACAUGGUGGACAUCAUGUGCAUACGCAUGUGCUAGCACCUGGCCCAUGUUAUCGGUGUUGUAAAGUCUGCUACGCCUGAGGUGUGCGUAAAGAGACUCGCACAAUGUGCGGCCAUUGUAAAGUGACCUUGUGCCAGUACAAUUGUUUUUAGGCCUACCAUACGCUUGAAAACAGUGCAUGGUGUACAUACAUAAUAAAAUAGAUAUAAUAAUAAUAAAA